rnacentral:lncRNA from 1 species
AUGCCCCAGAUCUGCCAGCCGCUGCUUCUGUGCCUCUGCAUCUGCCACCCCUGGGUCCAAGUUCCAGCGACUUCUGUCCCACCCUCUCCUCUGUGCUCCCCUUGUGUCCUGAAGAAAGGGGACAUGCUCCCGAGAUUUUCCACGGUGAUGAUAGCAUUUGAAGACCUGGCUGUGUACUUUACCUGGGAGGAAUGGCAGAAAAUGAACAAUGCUCAGAAAAUCCUGUACAGAGAUGUGAUGCUGGAGACCUACAGCAGCCUGUUCUCUUUGGGUGAGUAACAGCCAUCACAUGCCCAGUGAUAACAUUUUAUUGCUAUUUGAGAAAUAAGGGAACUCUUUAUAAUGUUUAAUAUUGGGCAGGUAUAGAAUUUGAGCCCAUGAAUAAUCUGGAUAUCUACCAUCCAGCAAGAGAUUCAAAUUGGAACAUUUGUUGCAUAACUCCUGGAGCAAGCUGCAGUCCUUUAAAUAACCCAAGAUAGUGAUUUCACAAAGUCUUACAUUGUUUCCAUUAAUAGGGCCCUGCAUUACCAAACCUGACUUGAUCUUCAAGUUGGAACAAGGCGCAGAGCCAUGGAAGGUGGAAGAAUGCCUGAAUCAGAGCCUUUCAGGUCAGUCUGUACAUAAGUGACAGGGAGGCCAAGACAGAAAAUGUGCAGAUGUUGACUGGUGCUCUUUCCAUGAAUUUUUCUCUAGCCUUACUCCUGAUGACACUAACUAGUCUGAAGCCAAAACUCCAGAAUUCAUCUAGUCUUCCCUGGUGUCUCAGAGGUCCCCAGGCACAUGAACCAUUAUCUGCUUCUUCCCAGUUUACAUAGGCAAAGAGCUGUACUGAAAGCAGAGUAGCCAGGGCUCAAACUGAAACUGAUUUGAGAUGCAGGCAUCCCACACAUUGUGGGGAGCAACUCGGAUUAGACUGUUACUCGAAUUAAGACUUAUUCUAUGCAUCUGCUCUCCCACAAUAUGGCGCUGGGAGAGGAGGAAACAGCUUCUACACAGCUGCCUCCAGUUCAUCCAAUAAACUGUAGGACCUGCUCCUGAUUGGAGGAGAG